CUCUUCGGGCAAUCGCGCCGUUUCUUUAGAAUCGGUGAGGAAAGUCCAUGCUCACACAACCUUAACUGGAUGUAGUGUUCGUGCUUGACGAAACAAUAAGUCAAGGCAGCUUACUUGUAAGUUGACGGCGCUUGGAACACCUAAGUCAAUCGAUAUGGUGAACCAUCGUAACGUGCCACAGUGACGUAGCUUCUCGGAAACGAGAAGAGUGGAACGAGGUAAACCCCACGAGUGAGUAACCCAAAAUAUGGUAGGGGCACUUUUUCGGUGGAAACAUACGAAAGAGGCGAAUAUAUCGCAGAUAGAUGAUUGCCGUCGUCGUGUGAGGUCAACAGCCUUAGCACGUCGAUACAGAACAUGGCUUAUAGAA
rfam:Geomicrobium sp. JCM 19038 DNA, contig: JCM19038.contig00001.